rnacentral:misc_RNA from 1 species
AAGGAUCAUUACAUGAUACUCGGGGAUCUAUAGUCUCUAUAGGUCCUGUCUGAACCCAUGUCUAUUGCGUACUUAUGUUUCCUCGGCGGACUUGUCCGCCGACUGGACUCUUCAAAACCUUUUGUAAUUGUAAUCAGCGUCUGAAAAAUAUUUAAUAUUUACAACUUUCAACAACGGAUCUCUUGGUUCUG